ensembl:lncRNA
CUUAACUCUUGCAAUAAACUGAAGAUGCUAACAAUGUUUGCAUAUAUCCAUAUUCAAUACCUGACCAGUAUUGUUUCAUUAUCUCAUUUUUUUUGCCAAAUAAGGUGGUAUAAAAUGGUACAAUAAAGUAAUUUUAAAUUUCAUUGCUUUAAUUACGAGAGAGGAAGCAAACUUUUCUGUACAAUGAUUGUAGGUAUCUAAGAAUUGUCCACAUGUGAUAGAACUGUUCCCAUCAUAUCACACUGCUGCUCAAAAACCUACAAUGCCUAAUCUAAACACAGCACAUAUGCUAUGCUAUGCUAUGCUAAGUCACUUCAGUCGUGUCCGACUCUGUGCGACCCCAUAGACGGCAGCCCACCAGCACAUAAAAGGCGCUAAAUAUUGACUGGCUGUCUUAUUGCUUCUAAAUCCAAAUCUAAGUAAAUAUUUCCCCGGCACAAAGUCAUUAUUUUAGGUAUUGUGUCACUUACGGAUUGAGUGAUUCUCAGUUCCACCUUAUUCGUGGUUUGGACUAGCCUGUGAAAAUGGAUCCUGGGCUUUAAUUUUUCCUGCGGCGCUGGCGCUGACGUUUUGUCAAUAGAGGGCGCCAGAGAGACAAUACAGAAGAAAAAGGACUUCCCUGGUGGCUCAGACGAUAAAGCGUCUGCCUGCAAUGCAGGAGACCCGGAAUCGAUCCCUGGGUUGGGAAGAUCCCCUGACGAAGGAAAUGGCAACCCACUCCAGUACUCUUGCCUGGAAAACCCCAUGGACAGAGAACCUGGUGGGCUACAGUCCAUGGGGUCGCAAAGAGUCGGACACCACUGAGCGCCUUCACUUUCGCUUUCUUCAGGGUGCUUCCUCAGCAGUUCUCCUGCACCUGCGGGGCCAUCGUGUGCCGGGCUCCUCCAGCACUCAGAGGUGCCCUGGUGCCCAGCCUCUUCCCUGUUCUGCCCUGCAGCCAGCAGCCCCACAGACCCCACCUCCCCGACUCCAUCCUCGGUGUCUCCACACUCUCCUGCAGUUUUAUAGUAGAGUGCCUCCAGUGAUCAAGACAACUGCCCAUGAACUCUUUUCCUUCACACUUCAGAGCGCAGCUUUCUAGAAAUGUCCACUGUCUGGCACCGACAAUAACUUCUCUAGCUUUCGUCAACCCCUCAUUGGCCACCUGAUGCAAAGAACUGACUUAUUUGAAAAGACCCUGAUGCUGGGAAAGACUGAGGGCAGGAGGAGAAGGGGAAGACAGAGGAGGAGAUGGUUGGAUGGCAUCACUGACUGGAUGGACAUGAGUUGGAGUAAACUCCGGGAGUUGGUGAUAGGAAAGCCCAGGGUGCUGCAGUCCAUGGGGUCGCAAAGAGUGGGAUACAACUGAGCGACUGAACUGACUGUCUGUGAUGUAGAAUUCUUUACCUUGAACUUCUCAUGUUCAGAUCACACGGUGAUUUCUCUCUCCUAAUUGGACCCUGUCGGACACGACUGAAGCGACUUAGCAGCAGCAGCAGUGUCAUUCUAGGGCUGCAUCCUUGAGCUGUUAUAAACUAUGUCAGUGUUUUCCCAGGUCUUUGUAGGCCAAGGUUGAAGCCUGGUUGUGAAGAGGGCUCAGAGGAGCCUGGCUAGAAUUUGGUCCAGGAGAAAAGCUUUGUUACCUAGCAACCACUCCCAGCUGAUGGUCAAGGAGAAAAGCUGUUACCUAGCAACCACUCACAGC